UACGGAGGAUGCGAGCGUUAUCCGGAUUUAUUGGGUUUAAAGGGUGCGUAGGCGGGCUUUUAAGUCAGCGGUAAAAAUUCGGGGCUCAACCCCGUCCGGCCGUUGAAACUGGAGACCUUGAGUGCGCGGAAGGCAGGCGGAAUUCGUGGUGUAGCGGUGAAAUGCUUAGAUAUCACGAAGAACCCCGAUUGCGAAGGCAGCCUGCCGCAGCGUUACUGACGCUGAAGCUCGAAAGUGCGGGUAUCAAACAGG
rnacentral:rRNA from 1 species